GGUCAUUUCUAAUACUAGAGGUUCAUUUUCCGAAAUAUUCGACUCGUGAAAUUCAUCGUAACUACAUUGACUGUGUGAGGUGGUUUGGUUGACUAGCAUUUUCUAAAAGUUGUGAGAAUAGUUUGAUACUUUGGAGACCUCCCAGACCUGACGAUAAACCACAACAGAAAUCCUUUCAAGUUUUACAAAAUACCUGGCCCUUGGUAAUCAGGUUGGUAAGAUAUACAUAUGGGACACUACACAGAAUGAUGUCAUAAAGGGACGUCCAUCAGUGAUACUCUCUUCAGCUAAAUGCUUCACUGCAGUGAGACAAGUCACCUUCAGCAACGACAGCAAGACUGUCAUUGGUGUGUGUGAUAAUGGAACUGUAUGGAGGUGGGAUGCUAAAUCAUAAUAAAGAACCAAUAAUACACUCACACACAAACUUAUUGUAAUACACUGUACAUCAGUAUACUGUGUAUACACCAUUAUUUUUCUAACAAACAAUAAUACAUUUUAAUUAUCAUUCACUGAUGCUAAAAGUAAUAGUGUCAUGACUUGAA